UAAUAACGCCGAAAGGGGUACUAAUACCGGAUAUUCUUGCUUUUCAUAAGUUAUAGCAAGCAAAGGUAGGCCUCUGCAUAUGCUACUGCAUGAAGAGGGGUCUGCGUACCAUUAGCUAGUAGGUGGGGUAAUGGCCUACCUAGGCGACGAUGGUUAGCGGGUCUGAGAGGAUGAUCCGCCACACUGGCACUGGAACACGGGCCAGACUCCUACGGGAGGCAGCAGUGAGGAAUAUUGCGCAAUGGGGGAAACCCUGACGCAGCGACGCCGCGUGAGUAGAGGAAGGCCUUCGGGUCGUAAAGCUCUGUCAAGAGGAAAGAAGUGUACAAUGGCUAAUACCUGUUGUAUUUGACGGUACCUCUAAAGGAAGCACCGGCUAACUCCGUGCCAGCCGCGGC
rnacentral:rRNA from 1 species